rnacentral:misc_RNA from 1 species
GGAAAAAUAAAGCAAAGACUCUUUUAUCAGAUCUGUUGAUUUUGGGGAACUUGGAUUCCAUGUCUUUGUUCAGUCUCUGUUUCGCUUUUUAAGCCUUUCUCGAAAGUUAUCAACUUUACCUUUCUUUCUACUGAGAAAAUGGGAGUGAAAGUAAAUACGACCUCUUUUCAAUGGUCGCAGCCAAUUAUACCUCAUUCCCCUUCUUCCUCUCAAACCCUAGUCUCUGCAAUCUCAUCUCCUUCCUCUAAAAGAUGGUGCCGUUCUGAUGGAACUGGAGCUGUGGCGCUCGUCUGCCGAUACGUACACGGACUAGACCGGUUAGCUCUGCUUGGCACUUCUUCAACGAAGUUCCAGAGGUCUCGAUCUUGUGAGCAUCCGAAGUCGAGAGCUCACUCUAUAAAAAGAGCUUGCAGUGCAAGCUUAGAUGCCUUCUCGGACGAAGAAUUUUCCAAGAAAAUCCAAGAGCUGGCGCUCAGAUUUCAGCUCUCAAAUGAUGAUGAUGACUAUAGUAGUAGCGAAGUGGAUUCGGGAUCAGAGGUAGUCUCAGAUUCUAGAGAUAAUCACGGCGUGAGUAGAGCAGAGAGUUACAAUAGUGUCACUGAAGAAUCUUCAAGUUUACAGAAGCAGAGACAAUUCCCUCUGGAUUCUGUAGAGCCUCCGUGGCCAGAAAUCCAACAAGAGCCACCGGAUUGGUCCGGAAGGGAUUAUACUAUUCCAGCGAGUAUCGAACGGAAGGCUAACAAAGUUGACCUUCCGCUUUCGCUUCGAAUGAUAAAGAGAAAGAUGCAAUGGCAAGAGGGAUUCAGGGAUGCAGGGGAAUCUGCUUAUUGUUCAGUGAAAAAGGCGUUCUCUUCCAUGGUGUUUAUAAUUCGAGAACUACAUAGCUAUGCGUUGCAUAUGAGAGAGCUUCUAUUCACUGAAGAUUUGCAAGGGAUUAUUGUUCGGGUGCAGAAAGAAAUGCACGCUUCCUUCGUUUGGUUAUUUCAGCAAGUGUUUUCACAUACACCGACUCUGAUGGUGUAUGUGAUGAUUCUUCUUGCAAACUUCACCGUAUAUUCUAUGGGCUGUAACACCGCAAUUGCAGCCUCACCAUCACUUGGGUCUUAUGCAGCCCCCAACGAAAGUGUCUCAAUUGUUGAAAUUCAAGACCAAAAGAAUCAAACGUUUGAUUCUUCCUCAGUAAAAACGUUUUCAAUAUUUUCCUCAAGUAGCAAAUCAACUUCUAUUGGGGGUAACAAUGGCGGUGGUGGCAAGGUCCGGCCAAUUGCCAGCGGAACUGACGGCGAUGGAUGGUUCGACCAUUCGGACGAAUUUAGAACAAUCGCUCCUGAUGGUGCUUCGCAUCUAACCUCUCUAGGGACUACAGGGGAGACACAGUCUGUAUCAGGGCAAGCAACGAGAGAAGAGGAGUUAAGCGUAUGGAAUUCCAUUGUAGACGAAGCUUCAAAAAUGCAAGUUCUUGAUCAUGAGACCAUGCAGAAAUUUGUUUCACCAAUCAAAGCAAAUGUUGAGCCGGAUGAUUAUGCAGAUUAUUUUAGAACAGAGCAACUAUAUCAAACGGGGUUGACCCAAGACCCUAAUAAUCCUCUCCUCCUCGCCAAUUAUGCUCAGUUCCUCUACCUCGUCGCCCGUGACUACGACAGAGCGGAAGAUUACUUUAAGAGAGCAAUUGGAGUAGAGCCGCCAGACGCUGAGGCCUACAGCAAAUAUGCAAGUUUUCUAUGGAGGGUAAGAAAGGACUUGUGGGCAGCAGAGGAAACCUUCCUGGAAGCCAUUAACGCUGACCCUACAAAUUCUUAUUAUGCUGCCAAUUAUGCCCAUUUUUUAUGGAACACAGGCGCCGAAGAUACUUGUUUCCCUCUUAGCGCCCAAGAUAACAACCAAGAACUCUAAUGCACUGAAAAAAAAAAAAAAAAAAAAAAA